GGUCACCUAUCAAUUUUAAAAUCUAUAAGUACCAACCAAGGGACUGGGUUUUGAUUAAAACCUGGAAAGAGCAACCAUUAAUUCCAAAGUGGGAAGGUCCAUUUCAGGUCCUGUUAAUCACAGAAACAGCUGUUCCCACACAGGAGAAGGGAUGGACACACGUUUCAAGGGUAAAAGGACCUGUCCCUGCUCCUACGCAGCAACCCUCCGAUUCCACCGAACGGACCUCGAUCAAAGAAACGGACACUAAGCUGGUUUUGAAGAAGAAACAGUCUGAACCAUCAGGAGGAAUGGAAUAACAGAUCAUCAUUGCUAGAUUUGAACCAUAAGCUGCAAUGAUGUUUAAUGAGCUAUCCUAGCUUAUUUAAAAGAUCCAAAGAGUCUGGAAAGAGGAUAGAGCAUUCUUCCAUGCACUUAGCAAUCAGGCUACAAAAGGAGGAACGAGACAAGUGAAUACAAGAGGGGAGUGAGCUCCUGCAACAGAAAAAGAAGUAGUAGCCAAUAAAGAAGUAUUGCACGGAGGAAGACCAGGUCAGGAAGCACUUUUGCCACAGAGUCACAGAACCUUCAGAAAGGAGACGCAGAAGCUUCUUCCGGAGCUCCGAGGAAAGAGGGCACUUCAGGAUGGGAGGCAAGGACUUUGUGGAUAAGGACACACAUGAAGGAUGCAGAGAAAACUUCUUGGCAAGAGAGGAGCCUGUCAGAUAUGCAAAAUGGAAACACAAAGUGUAACAGAGACUGCAGUACAAACCUAAAGCCUCUGAAGCUCCAAAUUCCAUGGGGCACAUUUCCUGCAAACUUCUAAAUAGCUGCACAGGGAAACAUGCUCCUGCCUGCAGCCACUUGAGGCAGG